GCAGAUGUAGCUCAGUGGUAGAGAGCUUGCCUCGCAUGCACUGGAUCCUGGGUUUGACUCCCAGCACUUCA
rnacentral:tRNA from 1 species